AUUGAACGCUGGCGGCAGGCCUAACACCUGCAAGUCGAACGAGUGGCGGACGGGUGAGUAAUGUCUGGGAAACUGCCUGAUGGAGGGGGAUAACUACUGGAAACGGUAGCUAAUACCGCAUACCAUCGGAUGUGCCCAGAUGGGAUUAGCUAGUAGGUGGGGUAAAGGCUCACCUAGGCGACGAUCCCUAGCUGGUCUGAGAGGAUGACCCGCCACACUGGAAGUGAGACACGGUCCAGACUCCGACGUGAGGCAGCCGUGGGGGAUAUUGCACAAUGGGCGAAAGCGUGAUUCAGCCAGGUCGCGAGUAUGAAGAAGGCCGUCGGGUUGUAAAGUACUAUAAGCGUGGAAGCGUUACCCGCAUAAGAAGCACCGGCGAACGCCGUGCCAGCGGCCGCGGUAAUAC
rnacentral:rRNA from 1 species